rnacentral:rRNA from 1 species
UACGAAGGGGGGCUAGCGUUGUUCGGAAUCACUGGGCGUAAAGCGCACGUAGGCGGAUGAUUAAGUCAGGGGUGAAAUGCCCAAGGCUCAACCUUGGAACUGCCUUUGAUACUGGCCAUCUGGAGUCCGGGAGAGGUGAGUGGAACUGCGAGUGUAGAGGUGAAAUUCGUAGAUAUUCGCAAGAACACCAGUGGCGAAGGCGGCUCACUGGCUCAUUACUGACGCUCAUGCGCGACAGCGUGGGGAUCAAACAGGAUUGAAACC